UACUCCAUCUUUCUUAGAGAGUUUGAGCGAUCAAUGGAGAUCAGCAAAAUCAACCAUCAAAAGAUAUCUUCUGCAAAAGAACUAGCACCCCGAUAAAGAUGCAGGCCUCCGAUCAGAUUCGAGGAUCUCGUGUAGAUAUUUGUAGAGACCAGAUGCUUGUGCGACUAUUCGAGGACUCAUAGUAUACUACAAUCAUUAGCUGUGGAGAUCAUCGACCCAUACAAAGGUAUGGAGAUCAGAUUUCUGAUUUAUUUCUUUUAUGUGUUCAUAAUCAGAUUUUAGAUUGGAUCAUUCGUGUUCAUAUGUUAGAUCUUAUUAGGUGGUUUAUAGAUUUG
rnacentral:lncRNA from 1 species